rnacentral:rRNA from 1 species
UGGGGAAUAUUGGACAAUGGGCGAAAGCCUGAUCCAGCAACGCCGCGUGAGGGAUGACGGCCUUCGGGUUGUAAACCUCUUUCAGUAGGGACGAAGCGCAAGUGACGGUACCUACAGAAGAAGCACCGGCCAACUACGUGCCAGCAGCCGCGGUAAUACGUAGGGUGCGAGCGUUGUCCGGAAUUAUUGGGCGUAAAGGGCUCGUAGGCGGUUUGUCACGUCGGGAGUGAAAUCUCAGGGCUUAACCCUGAGCCUGCUUCCGAUACGGGCAGACUAGAGGUAUGCAGGGGAGAACGGAAUUCCUGGUGUAGCGGUGAAAUGCGCAGAUAUCAGGAGGAACACCGGUGGCGAAGGCGGUUCUCUGGGGCAUUACCUGACGCUGAGGAGCGAAAGUGUGGGG